rnacentral:rRNA from 1 species
AACGUAGGUGGCAAGCGUUGUCCGGAAUUACUGGGUGUAAAGGGAGCGUAGGCGGGAAUGCAAGUUGAAUGUUUAAACUAUCGGCUCAACUGAUAAUCGCGUUCAAAACUGCAUUUCUUGAGUGGAGUAGAGGCAGGCGGAAUUCCUAGUGUAGCGGUGAAAUGCGUAGAUAUUAGGAGGAACACCAGUGGCGAAGGCGGCCUGCUGGGCUCUAACUGACGUUGAGGCUCGAAAGCGUGGGGAGCAAACAGG